GCGGGGGUUGCCGAGCGGAAAAGGCGCAGGGCUUAAGACCCUGUCCCGUAGGGGUCCGCGGGUUCGAAUCCCGCCCCCCGCA
rnacentral:tRNA from 3 species